rnacentral:rRNA from 1 species
CCUACGGGUGGCAGCAGUAGGGAAUAUUGCUCAAUGGGGGAAACCCUGAACCAGCAACGCCGCGUGGAGGAUGAAGGUUUUAGGAUUGUAAACCCCUUUUGUGAGAGAAGUUAAUGACGGUAUCUCUCGAAUAAGCACCGGCCAACUCAGUGCCAGCAGCCGCGGUAACACGGAGGGUGCCAGCGUUACUCGGAAUCACCGGGCGUAAAGAGUGCGCAGGCGGGCUUGUAAGUCAGAUGUGAAAUCCUGUAGCUUAACUACAGAACUGCCUUUGAAACGAUGAGUCUAGGGUGUGGGAGAGGUAGGUGGAAUUGUUGGUGUGGGGGUAAAUGCGUAGAUAUCAAGAAGAAUGCUGAUUGCGAAGGCAGCCUACUGUAACGUUACUGACGCUCAUGCACGAAAGCGUGGGGAGCGAACAGGAUUAGAUACCCUAGUAGUC